rfam:Oryza brachyantha chromosome 1, whole genome shotgun sequence.
CAUCCCAAUAUUUGUAGAUUUCCGUGUCUAACGUUUGACCGUUCGUCUUAUUUGAAAAUUUUAUGAGAAAAAUUUUAAAAAAUAGUCACAUAUAAAGUACUAUUCAUGUUUUAUCAUCUAAUAAUAAUAAAAAAACUAAUUAUAAACUUUUUUAAAUAAGUCGGAUGAUCAAACCUUGAAUAUAAACAAUGCAAAAUUGCACUUAUU